GGGGCUGCACCGGUUUCGACGUGGGUUCGGACGCGCAGCAGGGCAUGUCGAGCUGGAAGCCGCUCGUUAAACCGAUCCAAACAAACUAACUGCGAACGACGAACGUUACGCUCUCGCCGCUUAAUUGCCGGUGAGCUUCACAACAGUCGGCCUAUGGGCUGGGCAAGGGUUCCUUCGGGGGUCCAGGCUGUGAAGGUACUUACGUAGGCUGGUCCUGCGCCGGGUCACUUGGUGCGGGACGAGACAAUAGGUGACUGGCGUCCCAUGCAGCGUGCCGCUGCGCGGCAUGGGAGGCGAGACUCAAUCAGACGGCUACACAUGUAGAACUGCUCGUAGAAGGCUUGCGGACGCGGGUUCAAUUCCCGCCAGCUCCACCA
rnacentral:tmRNA from 1 species